AAACUAGGAUUAGAUACCCUAUUAUUAGUGACUUACCUUGUAAGUAAUAAAGAUUAUGAAAGCAAAAAAUUAUGGCGGUAUUUUAAGCUUUUCAGAGGAAUUUGCUCUUUAAUGGAUAAAACACCUAAAUCUUACUUAAAUUUGUUAAUUCAAUUUGUAUACCACUAUAAAAACAAUUUAUAACUUUAAUUGUUGAUAUUUAUUAAAUUAAAAUAUAUUAAGUCAAGGUGCAGUAAAAAUUUAAGGAUGAAGUGAAUUACAUUACUUUUUAGAGAAAUAAAUUUAAAAUAAUAUUUAGGAUUUGAAAGUAAAAUUAAAAUAUAAUGUUAAUUUGAAUUAAGCUCUAAAAUAUGUACACAUCGCCCGUCGCUCUCAUU
rnacentral:rRNA from 1 species